CACCGCGGUUAUACGAGAGGCCCAAGUUGAAAGACCCCGGCGUAAAGAGUGGUUAAGCUAGAAUUUAUACUAAAGCCGAAUAUCCUCACGGCUGUUAUACGCACCCGAAGAUGAGAAGCUCAGCCACGAAGGUAGCUUUAUUUGUCUGAACCCACGAAAGCUACGGCA
rnacentral:rRNA from 1 species